UACGUAGGGAGCAAGCGUUGUCCGGAUUUAUUGGGCGUAAAGGGCUAGUAGGCGGUUACGUAAGUCGGGUGUGAAAACUCUGGCUCAACCCGGAGACGCCACCCGAUACUGCGUUGACUUGAGUCUGGUAGGGGAGCACGGAAUUCCUGGUGUAGCGGUGAAAUGCACAGAUAUCAGGAGGAACACCGGUGGCGAAGGCGGUGCUCUGGGCCAGUACUGACGCUGAAUAGCGAAAGCGUGGGUAGCGAACAGG
rnacentral:rRNA from 1 species